rnacentral:rRNA from 1 species
GAGAGUUUGAUCCUUGGCUCAGGAUGAACGCUGGCGGCGUGCUUAACACAUGCAAGUCGAACGGUGAAGCAGAGCUUGCUCUGUGGAUCAGUGGCGAACGGGUGAGUAACACGUGAGCAACCUGCCCCGGACUCUGGGAUAAGCGCUGGAAACGGCGUCUAAUACCGGAUAUGAGCUGCGAUCGCAUGGUCAGCAGUUGGAAAGAAUUUCGGUCUGGGAUGGGCUCACGGCCUAUCAGCUUGUUGGUGAGGUAAUGGCUCACCAAGGCGUCGACGGGUAGCCGGCCUGAGAGGGUGACCGGCCACACUGGGACUGAGACACGGCCCAGACUCCUACGGGAGGCAGCAGUGGGGAAUAUUGCACAAUGGGCGGAAGCCUGAUGCAGCAACGCCGCGUGAGGGAUGACGGCCUUCGGGUUGUAAACCUCUUUUAGCAGGGAAGAAGCGAAAGUGACGGUACCUGCAGAAAAAGCGCCGGCUAACUACGUGCCAGCAGCCGCGGUAAUACGUAGGGCGCAAGCGUUAUCCGGAAUUAUUGGGCGUAAAGAGCUCGUAGGCGGUUUGUCGCGUCUGCUGUGAAAUCCCGAGGCUCAACCUCGGGCCUGCAGUGGGUACGGGCAGACUAGAGUGCGGUAGGGGAGAUUGGAAUUCCUGGUGUAGCGGUGGAAUGCGCAGAUAUCAGGAGGAACACCGAUGGCGAAGGCAGAUCUCUGGGCCGUAACUGACGCUGAGGAGCGAAAGGGUGGGGAGCAAACAGGCUUAGAUACCCUGGUAGUCCACCCCGUAAACGUUGGGAACUAGUUGUGGGGUCCAUUCCACGGAUUCCGUGACGCAGCUAACGCAUUAAGUCCCGC